GAGAAGUGACAGAGAGGAAGCUCUUCCAUCCACUGGUUCACUCCCCAAGCACCUGCAGUGUUCAGAGCUUCUCUGAUCCAACGCCAGAAGCCUGAAGAUUCGUCUAGGUCUCCCACGCAGAUGUAUUAGUGAGGAGCUGGAUGGGAA